AUUGAACGCUGGCGGCAGGCCUAACACAUGCAAGUCGAGCGGAUGAAGGGAGCUUGCUCCUGGAUUCAGCGGCGGACGGGUGAGUAAUGCCUAGGAAUCUGCCUGGUAGUGGGGGAUAACGUCCGGAAACGGGCGCUAAUACCGCAUCCGUCCUGAGGGAGAAAGUGGGGGAUCUUCGGACCUCACGCUAUCAGAUGAGCCUAGGUCGGAUUAGCUAGUUGGUGGGGUAAAGGCCUACCAAGGCGACGAUCCGUAACCGGUCUGAGAGGAUGAUCAGUCACACUGGAACUGAGACACGGUCCAGACUCCUACGGGAGGCAGCAGUGGGGAAUAUUGGACAAUGGGCGAAAGCCUGAUCCAGCCAUGCCGCGUGUGUGAAGAAGGUCUUCGGAUUGUAAAGCACUUUAAGUUGGGAGGAAGGGCAGUAAGUUAAUACCUUGCUGUUUUGACGUUACCAACAGAAUAAGCACCGGCUAACUUCGUG
rnacentral:rRNA from 1 species